AUGCGUCUUAUAUGUGAUGGGUGUGUUCCCAUCAAGUCGAUGGUGGGGUUGAUGUGCCCGUCGAUUCGUGAUCCGCUGGCUGAGCUCAUCUUCUCAAUGGCGGACUGGUGUUCUAUGUUAGUCGGAGCCAUUGUAUGUGGUUGUGCAGUUGCUGAUGUACAGGAGGCGUCCGUGGUGUCAGUUCUUCGUCGCCCAUGCUUAUCUUCUAUAUGCUCUAGCAGCCAGGUGACUACAUAUUACCUUUUCUAUCAAUUCGACCACCUUCUCCUUCUUCACGAGGAUCGGCGGGUCAACAUCGAUGCCCAUGUUAGCGGCAGUGCCCGCUAUGAUUCUCAUGGCGGACUCGAUGGUUUUGCAGUUCAAGUCAGGCAACUUCUCCUGGGCGAUCGUGCGUACUUGGUCGCUGUGGCUCCUUUGGGCCUUUUUCGACGCCUGGGAAUCAGAAUUAAUAAAAUGGAGAUAAGGAACCAUGUAGUUCACUGA
rnacentral:rRNA from 1 species